CAUUUUAUUUGUAACGCACUCUUCAUUCAGAAAAAUCUCAGUGUGCCAACAUAGUAGAAACUAACUAUAAUAAUAAAAUAAAAUAAAAUAAGACUAGUUAACAUAAGCAUAAUAGAAAACUUAGUGACAGUGAUUUAUCACAAGGCCAGAAAUGCCUUCCUGAAUAAAAAUGUUUUUCAUAAAAGUAGUUUUACAGUGACAUGAAAUAUUGAGGACCUUCCAUGGGUAAGCAAUGACAACACAUCACACUAAAAUGCAUGAUGCCUACCUGGCUGUGAUGGUGAUAAAUAUGUUGUUGUUGUGACAAGGCUUAAUUCUGUCGAAAAUAAAUAGAUAGCAUAAUAGCAUUGAGACAUGGAAUAAUCUGGAUUUUUAUUUUUCACUUUUAGUAAGUGUGAUACAGCAUCUUACCUGUAAAGGUGUAUGGGUCACUGCGUGGAGAGAGAGAUGGAUGUUCUGUCUUCACUGUAUAAUCACAGCUCACCCCUCUGCUCUUCACUGACUGCAGACGUCUGAAUAAAUCAUCCUUAUUCACUGUAAACUGGCAGGAAAGGUCUCCAGAUACACUCUUUGAUGUCUUCGAUUGGAGAUAAAACUGAGGUUCAUCUCCAGUGUAAAGUUGGCAGCUGAGGGCAUCACCAAAAUGCUUGGGUAUGUCACAGACAAUGGAGGUGGAGCCAUCGUGAAGGACCGUUAUGUGUGGCUUCUGCAAUCUGUCUGUGUUGGG
ensembl:lncRNA